rnacentral:rRNA from 1 species
CCUACGGGUGGCUGCAGUGAGGAAUAUUGGGCAAUGGGCUAACGCCUGACCCAGCAACGCCGCGUGGAGGAUGAAGGUUUUUGGAUUGUAAACUCCUUUUGUGGGGGAAGAGUGAGGACGGUACCCCAAGAAUAAGUCACGGCUAACUACGUGCCAGCAGCCGCGGUAAUACGUAGGUGACGAGCGUUAUCCGGAAUUAUUGGGCGUAAAGCGCCCGCAGGCGGCUGUUCAAGUCUGACGUGAAAUCGCUCGGCUUAACUGGGCGGGGUCGUUGGAAACUGAAUAGCUUGAGGCAAGGAGAGGGGCGUGGAAUUCCCGGUGUAGUGGUGGAAUGCGUAGAUAUCGGGAGGAACAUCAGUGGCGCAAGCGGCGCCCUGGCCUUAGCCUGACGCUCAGGGGCGAAAGCGUGGGGAGCGAACGGGAUUAGAUACCCGAGUAGUC